rnacentral:rRNA from 1 species
UACGUAGGGUGCAAGCGUUAAUCGGAAUUACUGGGCGUAAAGCGUGCGCAGGCGGUUUUGUAAGUCUGACGUGAAAUCCCCGGGCUCAACCUGGGAAUUGCGUUGGAGACUGCAAGGCUAGAAUCUGGCAGAGGGGGGUAGAAUUCCGACGUGUGAGCAGUGAAAUGCGUAGAGAUGUGGAGGAACACCGAUGGCGAAGGCAGCCCCUGGGUCAAGAUUGACGCUCCAUGCACGAAGCGUGGGGACAACGAAGGAUAGUAGUACCGGGUCAAGA